UACGGGGGGGGCUAGCGUUGUUCGGAAUUACUGGGCGUAAAGCGGGUGUAGGCGGAUUGCUAAGUCGGGGGUGAAAGCCCUGGGCUCAACCCUGGAAUUGCCUUCGAUACUGGCAGUCUUGAGUGCAGGAGAGGGGGGCGGAAUUCCGAGUGUAGAGGUGAAAUUCGUAGAUAUUGGGAGGAACACCUGAGGCGAAGGCGGCCCCCUGGACUGUUACUGACGCUGAGGCGCGAAAGCGUGGGGAGCAAACAGG
rnacentral:rRNA from 1 species